rnacentral:lncRNA from 1 species
GAGGCAGAGAGGAGUGACCACAGAGGCAGAGGGGUGGGCGGGCUGGCCCAUGGCUGAGACCUCUCUCCCAGAGCUGGGGGGAGAGGACAAAGCCACGCCUUGCCCCAGCAUCCUGGAGCUGGAGGAGCUCCUGCGGGCAGGGAAGUCUUCUUGCAGCCGUGUGGACGAAGUUUGGCCCAACCUUUUCAUAGGAGAUGCCCAAGGUCCUGGUGCACUGUGUGGUGGGCGUGAGCCGCUCUGCCACGCUGGUCCUGGCCUACCUCAUGCUGCACCAGCGGCUGUCCCUGCGCCAGGCGGUGAUCACCGUGAGGCAGCACCGAUGGGUCUUCCCCAACCGAGGCUUCCUGCACCAGCUCUGCAGGCUGGACCAGCAACUGCGGGGUGCCGGCCAGAGCUGAGGGGCCAGAGCUGGUCCUUACUCCCUGCCAUGGGGCUCUGCCACUUUGCCACCCUGGCACUGAUCCUGCUGGUGCUGCUGGAGGCUCUGGCCCAGGCGGACACACAGAAGAUGGUGGAAGCCCAGCGUGGGGUCGGCCCUAGAGCCUGCUACUCCAUCUGGCUCCUCCUGGCGCCUACACCCCCUCUCAGCCACUGUCUUCAGU